UACAGAGGGGGCGAGCGUUGUUCGGAAUUACUGGGCGUAAAGGGCGCGUAGGCGGCCAACUAAGUCAGACGUGAAAUCCCUCGGCUUAACCGGGGAACUGCGUCUGAUACUGGAUGGCUUGAAUUCGGGAGAGGGAUGCGGAAUUCCAGGUGUAGCGGUGAAAUGCGUAGAUAUCUGGAGGAACAUCGGUGGCGAAGGCGGCAUCCUGGACCGAGAUUGACGCUGAUGCGCGAAAGCCAGGGGAGCAAACGGG
rnacentral:rRNA from 1 species